GUGUUGGAGAGACACUAAACAUAAACAGGCACAAAUAAAGAAGGAAAAGAGCAUGAGCAAGGGAGCCUUUUCAAAGACUAUACCCUCCUACUACUACCACUGCUACUAUUACUAGUUUCAAAUACAAACUUUGUAGGCGUUUCUUAAUUCGCAUGUAUUAAUUUGCGUGUGGAAUACCUAGUUUUCCAUUGUCAAAAGGAACCGAGGCUCGUUUAAGAGGAAUGAUCAUGGAAAGAUGAUGCUAUUUAGCAAGUUACGGAAGUUUUCUGGAACAAGACCUUUAUUGAAGAAUAUGAUUGGAUAUGAAACCAUGUACUGUGUUGGAGCAGAAUUUUCUCAGCAAACUCUUAUCAAGAAGGUUUGGAUGAAAUAACACCAUAGGGAUUAUGGCGGAUAACACGCUUGGUGAUACCACAACAUUUAGUCACAUGUUGUCCCAAAGACGUCAGAAGAAUUAUUCACAGAAUAGGAACACAGAUGCUACAGUAGCUUGUGGAGGAAAGUUUUACCAUGUUCAUAGAAUUGUGUUAUUAAAGUGUAGUACUUAUGUAGAAGCAAUGUCUGAGUUAGCGAGUGCUGGUAAGCACCCCUUAAUGUUGUUACAGUAUGAUAGAAAAUAUGAACUAGAGGUUCUUCUUAGUUAUAUGUAUGCAGUCGUGGUGUUAGUGGCACAAAAGGACCUAUCAAGACUAGUUAAGAUAGCAGGGUUAUUACAAAUAAAAGGACUGGCUGUGGCAGACGAUCUCCCAAGUAAAAAAAAAAUUAGUACAAGUAACCAAAGUGAAAGGACAGGCAGUGGGCAUUAUAAAUCUUCUCAUUCAUUAGACACUAAUGGUAGAACUAGUCUUGGUCAUAAGAUCCGGGAACAAGAAGAACACAGAAGCUCUCCACAGUUUCAUCCCUCCACUUCUAGUUCAUUUAGGACUAAUUAU